AUAUGGCCAUAUCCCGUUGAAACGCUGGCUCUCGUCCGAUCACCGAAAUUAAGCAACCACGAGCCUGGUCAGUACCUAGAUGGGUGACCGUUUAAGAAUACCAGGUGUUGUUG